rnacentral:rRNA from 1 species
UAGGGAAUCUUCCGCAAUGGGCGAAAGCCUGACGGAGCAACGCCGCGUGAGUGAUGAAGGUCUUCGGAUCGUAAAACUCUGUUAUUAGGGAAGAACAAAUGUGUAAGUAACUAUGCACGUCUUGACGGUACCUAAUCAGAAUGCCACGGCUAACUACGUGCCAGCAGCCGCGGUAAUACGUAGGUGGCAAGCGUUAUCCGGAAUUAUUGGGCGUAAAGCGCGCGUAGGCGGUUUUUUAAGUCUGAUGUGAAAGCCCACGGCUCAACCGUGGAGGGUCAUUGGAACCUGGAAAACUUGAGUGCAGAAGAGGAAAGUGGAAUUCCAUGUGUAGCGGUGAAAUGCGCAGAGAUAUGGAGGAACACCAGUGGCGAAGGCGACUUUCUGGUCUGUAACUGACGCUGAUGUGCGAAAGCGUGGGGAUCAAACAGG